AAAGCAUAUAGUAUGGUUGGACGGAAGGCUUGCUGGGUGACCACAGAGACGUUGGUCAUUCCCCAGAUUGAUGUCCAUCAUGCUAUAAAAGGCCAUUCAAAAAGGAGCUUCAUAUAAAUCAUCCUAUGAAGAUACUGUGUUCUACUGAAACAGUGCAGGGACCAUGUCCUGCCCACCUACAAGGCCAUUCCUGGAGGAUCCUAGAUUGUCAUUUUGAAUUUGCACUAUCUCAGCAGGAGCUAACUCAGAGCAACCACUGCCUUCGUUACCUAAUGGCAGGUAGGCUUUCCAUCUGAGAGAGAGGCAUGAGGGAAGGAAAAAAGAACUGUUAGUUAUAUAGGGAUGAAAGAUGUAGACAUACUUGUGGAAGAUAUAACACAUGGCCCAUCAUGGUGGCACUUCUAGUUUCCACAAUGACUCAGGAUCCUGCUCAAAUGCUUCUUCCCAAAAUGCUCUGACGUCCACUCAACCAAUGAAAAAAGUCAGAGCAGUGCAUGAACAAACCAUCAAGUAAUCAGUGCCAUGCCCAAGGGAGGAAAUAUGGAGGACUCCUGUACUACAAAAACCACAGUCCAGGAGGACUCCAUUGGGUUCCUCUUUGGGGCCCCUCUAUGCAUAGAGUCUUCCUACUUUCCUUUGAUACUUUCUUUUCCCUUUCAGAUAAAUGUGCUUCAUUUGCUU